rnacentral:rRNA from 1 species
UACGUAGGGUGCAGGCGUUAAUCGGAAUUACUGGGCGUAAAGCGUGCGCAGGCGGCUCCUUAAGUCAGAUGUGAAAGCCCCGGGCUUAACCUGGGAACUGCGUUUGAAACUGGGGAGCUGGAGUGUAGAAGAGGGGGGUGGAAUUCCAGGUGUAGCAGUGAAAUGCGUAGAUAUCUGGAGGAACACCGGUGGCGAAGGCGGCAUCCUGGACCAUAACUGACACUGAUAAGCGAAAGCCAGGGGAGCAAACGGG